UGAUGCAAUAAACCUUUCUUUGUGAUUUUUACACUUAAACAACUAAAGAUUGGAGCAUUUUAACAUUUUAGUAUUCUGCGAGUUUUUUAAGAGCUACAGCAAUGCCCAAAAAGAAACUAAUCAAAACUAUUUUUAAACUUGCUAUCAGUCAGUAUUGUUGACAUCAUAUUUAAAAUUACAAUUAAUUUUUUUUAAUUUAAUAAAUACAUUCAUUACAAAAUAAAAUAGUGAUGGAGGGAGAGGGGAUUCAACCACAUUGUAAUGUAAAUAAACUGUGUUAAACUCCUAAAUGUUGCAAACCUAUACCUAUAGAAUGGCGCAGAAACUGUUUCAAGAAUGAGGGAAUGGACUGGAUAGAGUUUGAAAGUAUGAAUGUGGCUAGUGCAUACUUUACCCUGACUACACUAGGAGACAAGAUACUUGCUGCAGGCGGAUAUGAUUCACAGGAGAGGACUGCUACUGUGGAGGUGUUUGAUGGAUCCUCUUGGAAGCUUCAAAACUAUGAAUUGACAUCUCCAAGAUAUCAACACUGUGCUGUUCCUGUCAGGUAUACGCUAUAUUUUGACUCCAAGA